GUUCGACUCAGCGUGGGAGCUAAUUAAGUAGGAUGUGAUCGCCUUGCUUGUGCGACUGGUCAUCCAUUCUGAAAUGUGAGCAGGCGCUAUGGUCCUGUUCGGUGGGCCGCCAAGCAAUUGCAGUGCAAAGAGCAACUCAUUCUUGUGCAACCCACUGCAGUGUAUUCUCAGCUGCAGUGUUACUAUGGGGGAAUGACACUGCUAUACGUGUGCCAGUCAUUUGUUGGUCUGUUGAUGUUUUUGUGUCCUGAAAUUCUUAUUUCAUUGUACAGGCACAAAGGCAAACUCUCAACCAGUAGGGAGUUUGCGCUGGAGCUUGCCCUCUAUGAUCGUCACAUGGGAUGCAAUAAAACGAGUUUGGUUUUAACAAGGUUGCACUGAAGCUGCGCCCUGACUGUUGCUCUCAAACGAGGAUGUCCUCACCAAGGUGACCGAUUCGCACGUUCCGGACGUCGCUUUAACACUGCUUUCAAAAACAACUUGAACCUCGAUGCAAGGGAAGAGGCCUGCAACAAAUCGGAUUCCUCGACGAAUGACCAUUUGAAAUUUUUUAGUAACUCAGUCGUGCUGUCAUUCUUCAGUUGUAAUAAUUGCUUUUUUCAUCCCGAUUGUUUACCUGAAAUGCAAAAAAAUAUAUUUGAGUGGGAGUAGAAUACUUGUCACCUACCGGGAGCGUUCCAUUGCACUUCCUCAUUGAAAUAUUGUGGAAAGAAAGCACUUGUCUUUUUGAAUAACACUCUUACCAUUGAUAAACCUUUGUGGUUUUGCUUUUGCCUUGCGAACAAAUAAAAUGCAUUUCUAAAUUA